rnacentral:rRNA from 1 species
GACGGAGGGUGCAAGCGUUGUUCGGAAUUACUGGGCGUAAAGGGCGCGUAGGCGGUCUGUUAAGUUCGGUGUGAAAGCCCCCGGCUCACCUGGGGAACUGCGCCGGAAACCGACAGACUCGAGUACCGGAGAGGAGGAUGGAAUUCCUGGUGUAGCGGUGAAAUGCGUAGAUAUCAGGAGGAACACCGGUGGCGAAGGCGGGUCUCUGGGCCGAUACUGACGCUGAGGAGCGAAAGCGUGGGGAGCGAACAGG